AGUCUGGCGAGACGGGGCCCUGGUUGGGGUGCGCUGGGCCCGGUGAGCAGCGGGCUGUGUUUGCGGCGGCGCCCAGGCCCGGAUCCGCUCCCGGCGGCGGCGAGAUCACUGCAUACCCUUCAAUGGCCUAGAGCAGAUGACAUGGAUACAAGGGGGAAAGAAGACACAUUGGGUGGUUUGUGUAGAAGACCGCAGUGGGCUGAGUGCUGUCCAGGAUGAGCCCAGGAGCCCUGCACCCUCCUUCCAAAUGGAUGGACCUGCCCAUGUGCAUGAGCAUGUGUGUCCCCAAGGGGAUCCCCAGUGGCUGUACCUAGCACAGGCAGGUCACAGAGGACUUCUCAACCCUGAAGGACAGCCAGGUGCACCCAGGACAAGAUCCAGCAGGAUCUCAUAAAGAACAGCCAUAAGGAGCCACAGGUCACUUACCAAAAGGGGAGUCUCCAGGCAGAAAGUGUCCCUGCAGCACUGUCCUUCUGCUCACAGAGAGGAGCUACACACUUCUGCUGAGAUGGAGCCACUGCCCUCCACAGGGUCCUUGUCAGCACCAGCAGGUGACCACUACUCCAAGCCUUCUCCUCCCUCUCUGCCUCAUUUUCUCAAGGUGGUGUGUUUGACUGAAAGGACACUCUCUCCCGUGAUGGUGGCUGAUGCUGGUGAUCUGGGAGAAUGCCAUUUGGCCGCCGAGGUGGAAAGUUUCCACGGAAAGAUGCUUCCCUUCCUCAAGCCUUGACAUCAGUGCCCCCGGCAGGAGCUGGAAAGGAAACAGAACUCUUCUUGUGGCACGUGGAGACUCCAUGUUCAAGCUCAAAGGGCAUCACUCCUCCACUCUGUGUUUGACUGCUAGAACAUUCCCUGCCCUCCCUUCCCUGUGGCCCUCUCUUACCUGGAGGGAGGAGGUGGACAAGCUCUUGCUUUUCCCCCACUCCAGCCUCAUCCUAGGCCUGUGGGGUCACACCACCUGGCCUGGGUCUCUCCACAUGUGGUGGCACACCUGUGCCCUCAUGCCCAUCAGUCGUGCCCUGCCUGGGGUUGGGAGAGGAAAGGAAAUUUGGGGCUCUUGAGGGGCCAUAGAGUGAGACCAGUCAUGUGGACUGGGGGUUGGGGCGCCAGGCCUCGAGGUGUGCUUCCCCCACACAGAGCAGGGCAACCUGUCCCUAGUGUGGGUCCCGCCUUCUCCUGCCACUGUGCGUGCAGGGACAGCAGGCCCGAAUGGCCCCUCCAAAUGGUGGGCAGGGAGGGCUACUGGGUCCGCUUCCCCAUCCUGAAAGCCGACUGGGGGCUUUCCAGUCGUCCCAGCCUUGGUGGCCGGCAUCCGCGCCCACACCCCUCAGCUGAGUGAAGCUAAAGGGUGUGAGCGAGUGGGGCUCACCUCUGGUUUUUCUGUUUUUCAUCGAGUCUCUUUUUUCCUCCAGAAGAAAUGCAUCUGAACGUUACGUAUGAUGUUUUAUUUGUUCUAUUAGAACCGUAUGAUGCAAAAGGCGAAAUGUUAAAUCUCUGGAGCCCUGGGCAGGGCCAGGGAAGGAGCCCAGAUUGGGUGGGUGUGGUCACUGCUCUCCCUCUUUAACCAGCUGACGUGAGCAGCCGCAGCAGCCGUCGGCAAGAGUGGAGUGGCCCCUCCACGCCGCCAGUGCACGGUGCCGGGGUACCCUGAGCCUGUCCCCACAGGGCACCCACAGCAGCCACACAUGGCUGUUAGUAGAAGUGCUCCCAUUAGGAACUCCUACUGCCGGUGUGCCCGGCGUCCCUGGGGAGUGUGGCUGUCCUGGGGGCAGUGGGCUCUGUCUCCUGCAUGCAAACGUGGCCUGUGGAGCGCGCGUCUCUGCACAGGUGGCUGGAGGAUGGUCAGGGUAGUGAUGGGAAACAUCCUCCAAAUGCAGCCAGGGGCAGGUGGGGGUGUCCCGAGGAGCGAGGUGUCCUUGGUCUGGGGCCACACAUGCAUCUCUGCUCCCAGGCCAGCCUGUGCUCACAGGCUGACUCUCUUGGUUGGACCAUGGCUCUCUUUGUCCUUCCUCUUCUCAGUGCAUGAAGGCCCUAAAUCAAGGGCCUCAUGCUGACUUUUAUUUGACCCUUGCGGGAGUGUGUGGAAACACUGGGGUUCUGGGGCUCCCGAGUCUCUGCUGACUCUUGGUCCUGGGCACGGUGACCCUUUUCGCUGGGGCAGACGGCCCUGGGGAUUGUGGACAGUGCUGGCCUGGGACACAGUGACUGAUCCUGUGACCUCUGAUUUUCUUGGCAUUUCCCACCCUGUGUGUGACAUUGCCAUUGCUGAUCCCAGCAUGUGACCUGGGAGACUGCUGAUGUCCACAGAAUGUGCAUGCAUCCCCUCCCCCUGCCAAGGAAGGAGUGGGCCUUGUCGUCACAGGAAUUUUGUAGGUUUAGUCCCUGCUGGGUUGUUACCUAGAUUUGUGGGUGAGUGUUUCUCCUAUAUUAGUUCUAGGAGGUGGACAUGGUUGGUAGCACAGGAUGUGGUCAAUGAUUGACUUGUUCUUCAGAGUGUCAAUAUCCCUCUUGUCCAUAGAAACAGCUCUGAUCUCUGGUGGCUCUGGGAUCUGCACAGACAGGACCCUGUCAUGGCAGGGUUAGUGGGAGAUUCUGGCCCGUGUCUUCUUCUCACUGGAUUUGUUCCCAGCUUUCUCUGCUCCCGUCUUGUGAGAUCCUGCUGGGGGUGGCUCUUGUGAAUUGGUGAUAGAUUCUUGACCUGCUUGCUUCCCUGUGGCCCCCAUCUCAGGGACAUCUGAGAGCCCAUGAGAAACACAGAGGGCAUGUCUCCUGGCCAUGUGUUCCCAUGGCUCAGGGAACCCGAGGGAUGCAUACGUUUUUGGGAGAAUUCUGAUGCUUAUACAGGGUGGUAUCAGGUGGGAAAGCAGGGUCCUGUCCCAGUCUAUUUGUGCUACUCUGACAAAGUACCUUAGUCUCACAAUUUGUCACCAGCAGAGACUUUUUGCUAACAGUUCCGGAGGCUGGGAAGUCCAAGAUCAAAUUGCCAGCAGAUUCAAUGUUUGCUGUGGGCCUAUUUCUUGGGGACAGUGCCCUCUAGCUAUGUCUUCACGUGACAGACUGGGGCCCAGAGGUUUCUUGAGCCUCUUUUAUGAGAAUGCUCACCCCAUGCAUGAGGGUGGAGCCUCAUGACAUUCCCAAAGGCCCUGCCUCUUAGCACUGUCAAGUGGGAAGUAGGUUUCAACCUACAAAUGUUGGUGGGCGUGCACAUUCAGGCCAUAGCAGGUGAAAGACAUAGUUGGGUGUGCCUGAGGAAGAGGUUCUAGAACCUGGCUGUGGGCUGGAGAGAAGGGCUGUGAGAUGGUGACCAACGGGCCCUGGUCAGAGUAAGAUCCAGUGAUCACAAUGCCUGGGCAGGGCACCUGGUGCAGGAGCCCUGGUGCAGCAGGCAGUGGCAGGGGCAGCUGGAGCCAGAGGGAGUGCUCUUGCCCUGGGACCCAGGUGACAAAGA